rnacentral:lncRNA from 1 species
UAUCUAGAGAAGUCUUGGGAGUUGAGCUAAAUUCCUAAUCUACAAAAGCAUAGGAGGAGAAUCAGUAAAUCAGGAAGCAGUUCAGCAAAAGUACAAAGCAGUCUACUUACCAAUGAUGAAAACCGUUGGAACAAGUAACUCAGGGAAAAAUCAGACUCCCACUCUUCACUUAUCUCCAGUCUCUUUGGCCUAGUCAUGAUCUUCCUUGCUCGAAUUAUCGAAGAGCUCAUGGUUGAAGGAAAAAUUUUGUCCUAGCUAAGAACAAGUAAGAACAUUUGAAUACAUAUGCAAACUAUUAACAUAUUAAAGUAGGCAUGCAUUAAAAAACAAUUCAUAAAACCCAUGACU